CCCUUAGAUGUUCUGGGCCGCACGCGUGCUACACUGAGUGGAUCAGCGGGUCAGGUUGCGCGAAAGUGUUUCCUAAUCUUUAAAUCCGCUCGUGAUGGGGAUUGACGGUUGCAAUUUUCCGUCAUGAACGAGGAAUACCUUGUAAGCGCGGGUCAUCAUCCCGCGCUGAAUACGUCCCUGCCCUUUGUACACACCGCCCGUCGCUCCUACCGAUUGAGUGGUCCGGUGAGGCUUUGGGAUCUGAGCGGAAAGAGCGUUUCGCUGUUUCUGCCCGGAAAACUCAGUCGAACCUUAUCAUUUACAGGAAGGAGAAGUCGUAACA
rnacentral:rRNA from 1 species